ensembl:lncRNA
UUUGAAGUGUCAGAGCAAAAGCAACAUCGCCGUUCAGGAAGGCAAACAGAUGCUGAGUCCAAUCAUCAAGCUAGAAUCGGUUUUUCUCAGAGACGUGGCCACUGGUAAGUGAGUAUCAGUGAAUAAGCAUGUUGUAUUCUGAAUAACAUCAGUCUGAUGUACAGUUCCUUUUGUUCUUUCCAUCAGACCCGAAGGCCCUCUAUGUCAUCUUCACCUGGGACAGCGGAGCACAGAUCUAUGAACUAGUGGCUCAGACCCUCGGGGAGAAGAAAAAGUGAGUGUGUGAACCAUAUAAAGCCAUUUCAAUGAAACACUCAUCUGAAAGACUGACAGGCAGAUCAUAUGGAAUCCAGCUUCAAAAUUGAAAUCCAAAACACUCACAGUCUGUUUUAUGCUCCAGUUGGACAGUGGUGAUUAAAUCAACGGUUGACGAGUUGAAGAAGAGGGGUGGGAAUAAGCUGAAAAGAGAGAGAGGUGGCAGCAUGCCCAUGAGCGUCAGUGGAGCUGCAUACAGCCCUUUGCAUGCCCCUCUUAGCCCAACUGAGAAUGGAGAAAACCUGUUGAAAAGUCACGGUGGUGAGACUUUUGGCUCUUGGAAACAGAUAUUAAGUCUGUCCAAGUAAUUUUACUGUGGUAUUAUAAUGUGACAGUUUUAUUUCACCAUAGGCCGAUUUAAAGACAUUCUUACUGAUGAGAAGAGUAGAGAAACGGGUUCUUCACUCAUAGACUACCUAGCGGCCAAUGGUUUUGACCUGCUCAGCCAUAGCCACGCUCCUCCAGAGAAGUCUGCUAUUGGUGCUUUGGAUGAAGUCAUGUGUUUGAAGAGGCUAUUGAUCGGGAGUAUUAGUCUUUCAGAUGACUCUCAGACUCUUGGGGAAAAUGGAGGGACGGCACCUGAAAGCCAGGAGGCAGAUGGAGGUCAGUCGUCAGGAACCGCACACAUAUUGCUUCAGGUUUUUAGCUGACGAGGUUCAACCUCACACUUAAUCAUAGUACAGCAAGUACAGCUAUGCUGAAUACCUGAAUAAGUUCAGCAUGCAGGAAGAAGAAAUGAACUUUUAAAUGUCAUUUAUUCUAAUUCUAAAAGAAAAGAUGGAAGACAAAUUCCUAAUUCUUGCAUUGGGGGUGUUUUUUCUGAUUGAUAUUGAGAUCCCCAAUGCUUUUUUUCCUUCUUAGUGGAGGAAUCCAGCACAGAAGGAAAAACUGAAGGAGAAGAGAGUGGGGGA